GGGCCCGCACAAGCGGUGGAGCAUGUGGUUUAAUUCGAUGAUACGCGAGGAACCUUACCAGGGCUUAAAUGUAACGGGACAGAUCUAGAGAUAGAUCCUUCUUCGGACUCAUUACAAGGUGCUGCAUGGUUGUCGUCAGCUCGUGCCGUGAGGUGUCAGGUUAAGUCCUAUAACGAGCGCAACCCCCAUCGUUAGUUGCCAACGAGUAAUGUCGGGAACUCUAACGAAACUGCCGGUGCAAACCGUGAGGAAGGUGGGGAUGACGUCAAAUCAUCACGGCCCUUACGUCCUGGGCUACACACGUGCUACAAUGGUCGGUACAGAGAGCAGCCACUACGCGAGUAGGAGCAAAUCUUCAAAGCCGAUCGUAGUCCGGAUUGCAGUCUGCAACUCGACUGCAUGAAGCUGGAAUCGCUAGUAA
rnacentral:rRNA from 1 species